rnacentral:rRNA from 1 species
UUGAACGCUGGCGGCAGGCCUCACACAUGCCAGUCGAGCGGAUGAGUGGAGCUUGCUCCAUGAUUCAGCGGCGGACGGGUGAGUAAUGCCUAGGAAUCUGCCUGGUAGUGGGGGACAACGUUUCGAAAGGAACGCUAAUACCGCAUACGUCCUACGGGAGAAAGUGGGGGAUCUUCGGACCUCACGCUAUCAGAUGAGCCUAGGUCGGAUUAGCUAGUUGGUGAGGUAAAGGCUCACCAAGGCGACGAUCCGUAACUGGUCUGAGAGGAUGAUCAGUCACACUGGAACUGAGACACGGUCCAGACUCCUACGGGAGGCAGCAGUGGGGAAUAUUGGACAAUGGGCGAAAGCCUGAUCCAGCCAUGCCGCGUGUGUGAAGAAGGUCUUCGGAUUGUAAAGCACUUUAAGUUGGGAGGAAGGGCAGUAAGUUAAUACCUUGCUGUUUUGACGUUACCAACAGAAUAAGCACCGGCUAACUUCGUG